rnacentral:misc_RNA from 1 species
GAUGAAGAACGCAGCAAAAUGCGAUAAGUAAUGUGAAUUGCAGAAUUCAGUGAAUCAUCGAAUCUUUGAACGCACGUUGCGCCCGCUGGUAUUCCGGCGGGCAUGCCUGUUCGAGCGUCAUUUCAACCCUCAAGCCCCCGGGUUUGGUGUUGGGGAUCGGCUCUGCCCUUCUGGGCGGUGCCGCCCCCGAAAUACAUUGGCGGUCUCGCUGCAGCCUCCAUUGCGUAGUAGCUAACACCUCGCAACUGGAACGCGGCGCGGCCAUGCCGUAAAACCCCAACUUCUGAAUGUUGACCUCGGAUCAGGUAGGAAUACCCGCUGAACUUAAGCAUAUCAAUAAGCGGAGGA